AGAGUUUGAUCCUGGCUCAGGAUGAACGCUGGCGGCAUGCCUAAUACAUGCAAGUCGAACGAAGUUUCGAGGAAGCUUGCUUCCAAAGAGACUUAGUGGCGAACGGGUGAGUAACACGUAGGUAACCUGCCCAUGUGUCCGGGAUAACUGCUGGAAACGGUAGCUAAAACCGGAUAGGUAUACAGAGCGCAUGCUCAGUAUAUUAAAGCGCCCAUCAAGGCGUGAACAUGGAUGGACCUGCGGCGCAUUAGCUAGUUGGUGAGGUAACGGCCCACCAAGGCGAUGAUGCGUAGCCGGCCUGAGAGGGUAAACGGCCACAUUGGGACUGAGACACGGCCCAAACUCCUACGGGAGGCAGCAGUAGGGAAUUUUCGUCAAUGGGGGAAACCCUGAACGAGCAAUGCCGCGUGAGUGAAGAAGGUCUUCGGAUCGUAAAGCUCUGUUGUAAGUGAAGAACGGCUCAUAGAGGAAAUGCUAUGGGAGUGACGGUAGCUUACCAGAAAGCCACGGCUAACUACGUGCCAGCAGCCGCGGUAAUACGUAGGUGGCAAGCGUUAUCCGGAAUCAUUGGGCGUAAAGGGUGCGUAGGUGGCGUACUAAGUCUGUAGUAAAAGGCAAUGGCUCAACCAUUGUAAGCUAUGGAAACUGGUAUGCUGGAGUGCAGAAGAGGGCGAUGGAAUUCCAUGUGUAGCGGUAAAAUGCGUAGAUAUAUGGAGGAACACCAGUGGCGAAGGCGGUCGCCUGGUCUGUAACUGACACUGAGGCACGAAAGCGUGGGGAGCAAAUAGGAUUAGAUACCCUAGUAGUCCACGCCGUAAACGAUGAGAACUAAGUGUUGGAGGAAUUCAGUGCUGCAGUUAACGCAAUAAGUUCUCCGCCUGGGGAGUAUGCACGCAAGUGUGAAACUCAAAGGAAUUGACGGGGGCCCGCACAAGCGGUGGAGUAUGUGGUUUAAUUCGAAGCAACGCGAAGAACCUUACCAGGUCUUGACAUCCAACUAACGAAGCAGAGAUGCAUUAGGUGCCCUUCGGGGAAAGUUGAGACAGGUGGUGCAUGGUUGUCGUCAGCUCGUGUCGUGAGAUGUUGGGUUAAGU
rnacentral:rRNA from 1 species